UGCAGAAUCUGAGGCAAAACCCCACUGGAGGAUGAGAGUUUUGGGUGUGGAAUAGAAAUCAAGCCCAGCCUUUGUGCGCAGCCUUCAACCUACAGCGACAGCCACUGCCCUCUACAAACUCCAUUUGCACAAUUUCAUGGGAACAGAGAAUUGAAGCUCAACCCAUACAUUCCACAGCUCGUGCUCGCAGGAGGCUGGUGUGAGAUUGGCUCAGCAGUGACACCCCAGAGAUACCUGGAGGCUCUGCAGAGGAGUAACAAAAGGACAAAUCCAGGCUGUGGAUGUUGCUGGUGCAGGAUGAGGUCGACUAUUUAUAUAUUUAUACCCACCAGAGUCAUUGAAAACAGCUCUCUGAGAGGAUUUCACCCCAGUCCCAUCGGCGCGGUUGCAGAACAGCCACCCGCAGCAGAUGAGCUUUCUGCCAGCAGGGACUGCACCUAUAAGAACGUGGAGGGGGAUUCUGUGAGCCCCUCUCUACCACUGCAGCCCCAGAGAGCAGGAGAGGUAGAGCAGACCAAAUGGAGCUGAAAAAACUUAAUAUCCCAGUUUUUGCCUCUGCAAGGCACAAGCCACUGGCUCUCCCAGGAAAUCCAUCAGUGCUGCAUUGAGACCAGGGGACCAACCCAGGCUCCACCCUCAGGGCCGUUAUGAUUUUACGAAGUUCUUGGAGGAACAUUAUUGGGGUGAGGUAAUCCCUUACACAGCAGCAGAUCCAGCUGGAGCUGGGCGUGCGAGCACGUGCCUGCCUUGCCCCGCAGGACGGGCUGGGGAACUCAAAAUGUGAAAACUACCCACCAAAGAAAGCUUGGCAUUAAAGUUCACGAAAUCAGGCAAGCCAAACCUGCAGUCCUGAGGUCCUGAAGGCCAGCAGAACCCAGCCCGACAUGACAAGGCUCUGCAUGAAUCCUGGAUCUCUGUGAAUAGAUGGAAUUGAAAUUGAAGGCUACCAUCCAAAUAGGCCCUUCUUCACCUGUUAAAAAAUAUCUUUUAAGGAGCUUGUGUUGUAUCUUACCAAAACACACUGCCCAGUAGGGUUGAAUUCAAAUUGAAUAUCAUCCAAUUUGUAAAGCAGAAGAAGAGAGAUAUGGCAGGGGGACCAGGGUUUUGGAAAGGAAUUUUUUUCAGGAACAGAACCAAGAGUCCUGUUGACAGAGCCUGAAGUGCUUUUCCUUCGCACAAGGAAGUAAUGGGAGCUUGUGUGCCUUUGCAAUGCCUCUCAAGAGAUCCCUCUUGCAGGAGAAGGAGAAGGUUUCCACAAGUCCCAGCCCCUGGGCAGAGCUGCAGCACAGCUCCAGGGAGACUCACUAGCUGGGGGAGAUGAGGUUCAGGGGGCAAAGCUGCUCUUCCAGCAUGGAAGAAAUGACAAAGCGGGGAAUGUUUUCUAUUCACCAUCUCCUGCUCCAAGAUCUCAUCAUUUUUCAGUAGUGCCUUGUCUUUUCAAACCAGCAUCCUGCCUCUGGGCACCUUCUGAGACAUGCCACAGUCUGAACAUGCUGAGCAGCACUUCUGCCCAAGAGCUGCCUCCCAAGCCACAGCCUGCUGCAGAGCUGAUAGCCCUGGCAAGGGUGAAAGGGAGGCUCAGACAUGAGGAUGCUGCUCUACAAACAGGGAUCCUAAGCAAGUACAGUUUUCUGCUGCAUCCAUCACACCCCAAGGACAUCACAUGCAGACAGAUGCCAGGGUCUUCAGUGAGGAUCAGCCUUUGAAGACCAACAGCGCAACUUGGCAUCACUUUGGCUGCUGGAUGCCUCUGGAGAGCAAAUACCUUCAGUUCUGGAGGAAUUAGCCUGCAGAGGAAAGUAGGAGCAGUUUGACAGCCUGACUCACGAUCUUUGUAUUAUUAUUACUGGUUGUGAAACUAUGAUAGGAUCCAGGAGCCUGAACCAUGGAUCAGGAAUGUGCUUUUGAAGAGAAACUCCUGGCCUUCCUGCUUUGGCUUGUGUUACAAGGCAGUCUCAAGGCAGGCACACAUGGGGUUUUUUUUCAACAGCAGCUUAACUGGAAGUUGCGAAGGGUGGCAGGUCCCUGGGAGUGGGAUAGAGGCACCCUAAAAAUUAUCAACUGAAAUAUGUGUGGUGUGGAUGGCAGGUUCUCAGCUCCAGGGUGUUGCUCCAUGAAUCUGCUCUGUCCUGAACCUCCCUGCUUUCGAGCACCAGCACAGCCAGGUCCUGCACAGGAUAUGCAGUCAGCAGGAAUAUUGGCUGCUUUACUUUCUCUUCCUGAGGUUACUGAAAGGCUGCGGGUGUUGCAGAAUAGAUGCAAAGCAGAGCCACUGCUUUAGGUGUUUUCAUUCUGGUUCUCAGUAGCAUGAUGGUUGUUGGUGGUGGUUUUAUUAUCUUUUAACUAUAACUACAUCUAAGAAGUUGAAGGAUGAGGAACUCGAAGAAACUGAUAAAUAAUGUUGUGACAAAGAGGAAAAUAUCUGAAAUGUUUCCCAUUAAUAUAGCUGCUUUUUUUUUAGGUCUUAUUUUCUAGAGCAACACAGCCUGUCAAAAGAUCUGAUAAGAACACAUAACGUUACAUAAAACACCAGGGAGCCAGUUUAUAAGGUAGUAUUCCUUGCAUAGCUUUCUUCCAUCAAAAAGCAGUUUAUCCAGUGUAAUGGUAGGAUUAAAACAAAUAGAUUUACAGAAUAGAAAAGAUGGAGAUCCCUGUUUGCCACAGACUGUAAUGGGAGUCAGGGCAACUUCAGAGACUGAAGGGACUUGUAGGUAGGAUGUGGAGUAGAGUUUGCCUUAAAGUUGAAGAACAAGGGACAUGCUGCCUAGUAAAGAUGCUGAAGAUCAAGAGAGUUUCCUGGUUAGAUUGACCUGCAGGAGAUUGGACUCACAUUGUGACAAGAGGGGGCCCCGGGAGACCCUGGGUGCAUGAGGGGUUGUGCCUAGUUAGGGGGAAACACUACAGCUUAUCUUGAUCACAGUAGCACAAGCCCUGGAAGUUCUCCUGAGAGCAGCACUGUGCUGCAAGAAAAUACCUUUAUCCCACUUUGCAUGCUGAGGUAGGGAAAUGUGGUUCAGGAAGAGGAUUUUAUUGGAGACUUUGGUGCUUGUGGAAGAUCUCUCCACCGCGUACCAUUUUGUUCAAGACAUUUUACUCUCCUCUGAACUCUCCAGGCUGUAAUGUACAUGAGGGCUACCCAGGCUCCCAGUCAUCUUGAUUUAAGCACUUCUACCAGUACCCUCAUCCCCUAUAUAUAAUGUUUUAACUCUUCUUCACAUCUUUUAGUAGUAUGAAGAAAAUUCAAAGGUGAAAAUAGUUUUUGAAAUCAUAGAAUGUAGGACCUACAAUAUAUUA